AUUGAACGCUGGCGGCAUGCCUUACACAUGCAAGUCGAACGGCAGCACGGGAGCAAUCCUGGUGGCGAGUGGCGAACGGGUGAGUAAAGUAUCGGAACGUGCCCAGUCGUGGGGGAUAACGCAGCGAAAGUUACGCUAAUACCGCAUACGAUCUAUGGAUGAAAGCGGGGGAUCGCAAGACCUCGCGCGAUUGGAGCGGCCGAUAUCAGAUUAGGUAGUUGGUGGGGUAAAGGCUCACCAAGCCGACGAUCUGUAGCUGGUCUGAGAGGACGACCAGCCACGCUGGGACUGAGGCACGGCCCAGACUCCUACGGGAGGCAGCAGUGGGGAAUUUUGGACAAUGGGCGAAAGCCUGAUCCAGCCAUGCCGCGUGCAGGAUGAAGGCCUUCGGGUUGUAAACUGCUUUUGUACGGAACGAAAAGGUUUGGCCUAAUAAGCUGAGCUCAUGACGGUACCGUAAGAAUAAGCACCGGCUAACUACGUGCCAGCCGCCGCGGUAA
rnacentral:rRNA from 1 species